UGCAUCGAUGAAGAACGCAGCGAAAUGCGAUAAGUAAUGUGAAUUGCAGAAUUCAGUGAAUCAUCGAAUCUUUGAACGCACCUUGCACUCCUUGGUAUUCCGAGGAGUAUGCCUGUUUGAGUGUCAUGGUAUUCUCAACCUCUAAAGCUUUUGCGAUAGAGGCUUGGAUGUGGAGGUCGUGUUGGCGCAAGUCAACUCCUCUGAAAUGCAUUAGUGUGAAUCUUACGGAUCGCCUCCAGUGUGAUAAGUAUCUACGCUGUGGUGUUGAAGUAUAUAGGCAUUCAUGCUUCUAAUCGUCUCUUCAUUGAGACAAUUACUUGACAAUCUGACCUCAAAUCAGGUAGGACUACCCGCUGAAUUUAAGCAUAUCAAUAAGCGGAGGA
rnacentral:rRNA from 1 species